rnacentral:rRNA from 1 species
GUGGGGAAUUUUGGACAAUGGGCGCAAGCCUGAUCCAGCAAUGCCGCGUGCAGGAAGAAGGCCUUCGGGUUGUAAACUGCUUUUGUACGGAACGAAACGGCUCUGGUUAAUACCCGGGGCUAAUGACGGUACCGUAAGAAUAAGCACCGGCUAACUACGUGCCAGCAGCCGCGGUAAUACGUAGGGUGCAAGCGUUAAUCGGAAUUACUGGGCGUAAAGCGUGCGCAGGCGGUUUUGUAAGACAGGCGUGAAAGCCCCGGGCUCAACCGGGGAAUGGCGCUUGUGACUGCAAAGCUGGAGUGCGGCAGAGGGGGAUGGAAUUCCGCGUGUAGCAGUGAAAUGCGUAGAUAUGCGGAGGAACACCGAUGGCGAAGGCAAUCCCCUGGGCCUGCACUGACGCUCAUGCACGAAAGCGUGGGGAGCAAACAGGAUUAGAAACCCUGGUAGUCC